GAUGAAGAACGUAGUAAAAUGCGAUAAGUAAUGUGAAUUGCAGAAUUCAGUGAAUCAUCGAAUCUUUGAACGCACAUUGCGCCCGCCAGUAUUCUGGCGGGCAUGCCUGUUCGAGCGUCAUUUCAACCCUCAAGCACAGCUUGGUGUUGGGACUCGCGUUAAUUCGCGUUCCUCAAAUUGAUUGGCGGUCACGUCGAGCUUCCAUAGCGUAGUAGUAAAACCCUCGUUACUGGUAAUCGUCGCGGCCACGCCGUUAAACCCCAACUUCUGAAUGUUGACCUCGGAUCAGGUAGGAAUACCCGCUGAACUUAAGCAUAUCAAAAGCGGAGGA
rnacentral:misc_RNA from 1 species